ensembl:lncRNA
CUUUCCUCCUCUGCUGUAAAGAAUGUACACAAACAAGAAGUAAACACAACUUUUCUGCUCAUCUGAGUCCCUGUAUCUGAGCAUGAAUGAUCUGAGGGAUUAAGAACGUGGGGAGAGGAGCCUGAGUUGAGCUGAAGAGCAUGCAGGUGAGAGGACUUCUACAGGUCGUGCUUGACAUCUGGUUGCUGCAAAGACUAACACAAAAAUUAUCUGUCGAACAACUUCUUCAAGAUGUCUCCUGGCAGCUUCUACCGGAUGCAUGCCAUUAUCUACUGUGCUGUCUCCUUGGGAAGGACCUCCACAUCCAACAGGUCAUGCAUUCUGUCAGCCAUAUCAGCUUGCCUAAGAAAGAUCCUGCCACUCCAUGUGAACUUGCUCUCCUGAAUGCUGUAAACCACCAGCACUCACAAAGGCACAAAUGUCAUGCACCUUUCUGAGAUGUUCCUGUCCAGCUCCAG